CAGCCGCCACGGUAAUACGAAGGGGGCUAGCGUUGUUCGGAAUUACUGGGCGUAAAGGGCGCGUAGGCGGCCGAUCAAGUCAGGCGUGAAGGCCCCGGGCUUAACCUGGGAACUGCGUUUGGGACUGGUUGGCUUGAGUUCGGGAGAGGAGAGUGGAAUUCCCAGUGUAGAGGUGAAAUUCGUAGAUAUUGGGAAGAACACCGGUGGCGAAGGCGGCUCUCUGGACCGAUACUGACGCUGAGGCGCGAAAGCGUGGGGAGCAAACAGGAUUAGAUACCCCAGUAGUCCCUGUCUCUUAUAC
rnacentral:rRNA from 1 species